CCCGCACAAGCGGUGGAGCAUGUGGUUAAUUCGAAGCAACGCGAAGAACCUUACCAGGCCUUGACAUGCAGAGAACUUUCCAGAGAUGGAUUGGUGCCUUCGGGAACUCUGACACAGGUGCUGCAUGGCUGUCGUCAGCUCGUGUCGUGAGAUGUUGGGUUAAGUCCCGUAACGAGCGCAACCCUUGUCCUUAGUUACCAGCACGUUAUGGUGGGCACUCUAAGGAGACUGCCGGUGACAAACCGGAGGAAGGUGGGGAUGGCGUCAAGUCAUCAUGGCCCUUACGGCCUGGGCUACACACGUGCUACAAUGGUCGGUACAAAGGGUUGCCAAGCCGCGAGGUGGAGCUAAUCCCAUAAAACCGAUCGUAGUCCGGAUCGCAGUCUGCAACUCGACUGCGUGAAGUCGGAAUCGCUAGUAAUCGUGAAUCAGAAUGUCACGGUGAAUACGUUCCCGGGCCUU
rnacentral:rRNA from 1 species